AUUGAACGCUGGCGGCAUGCUUUACACAUGCAAGUCGAACGGUAACAGGCCUUCGGGUGCUGACGAGUGGCGAACGGGUGAGUAAUGCAUCGGAACGUGCCCAAUCGUGGGGGAUAACGUAGCGAAAGUUACGCUAAUACCGCAUAAGCCCUGAGGGGGAAAGUGGGGACCGCAAGGCCUCACGCGAAUGGAGCGGCCGAUGUCAGAUUAGCUAGUUGGUGGGGUAAAGGCCCACCAAGGCGACGAUCUGUAGCGGGUCUGAGAGGAUGAUCCGCCACACUGGGACUGAGACACGGCCCAGACUCCUACGGGAGGCAGCAGUGGGGAAUAUUGGACAAUGGGCGCAAGCCUGAUCCAGCAAUGCCGCGUGGAUGAAGAAGGUCUUCGGAUUGUAAAGUCCUUUCGACGGGGACGAUGAUGACGGUACCCGUAGAAGAAGCCCCGGCUAACUUCGUG
rnacentral:rRNA from 1 species